UACAGAGGGUGCGAGCGUUGUUCGGAAUUAUUGGGCGUAAAGGGCGCGUAGGCGGUGCGGUAAGUCACCUGUGAAAUAUCCCGGCUCAACCGGGAGGGUGCAGUGUAGACUAGGGAGCUAGAGGUCGGUAGAGGGGGGUGGAAUUGCUGGUGUAGCGGUGAAAUGCGUAGAGAUCAGCAGGAACACCCGUGGCGAAGGCGGCCCCCUGGGCCGUACCUGACGCUGAGUGCGCGAAAGCCAGGGGAGCAAACGGG
rnacentral:rRNA from 1 species